UGUGUAGGCGGCCUGUUAAGUUCCGUGUGAAAUCUCCCGGCUCAACCGGGAGGGUGCGCGGAAAACUGGCGGGCUAGAGUACGGGAUGGGAGAGUAGAAUUCCUGGUGUAGCGGUGAAAUGCGUAGAUAUCAGGAGGAAUACCGGUGGUGUAGACGGCUCUCUGGACCGUAACUGACGCUGAGACACGAAAGCGUGGGUAGAAC
rnacentral:rRNA from 1 species